GCCUACGGGGCGCAGCAGUGAGGAAUAUUGGUCAAUGGUCGGGAGACUGAACCAGCCAAGCCGCGUGAGGGAUGAAGGUACAGAGUAUCGUAAACCUCUUUUGUCAGGGAACAAAGGCGGGGACGCGUCCCCGGAUGAGUGUACCUGAAGAAAAAGCAUCGGCUAACUCCGUGCCAGCAGCCGCGGUAAUACGGAGGAUGCGAGCGUUAUCCGGAUUUAUUGGGUUUAAAGGGUGCGCAGGCGGGCUGUUAAGUCAGGGGUCAAAGCCCGGGGCUCAACCCCGGCCCGCCGUUGAAACUGGCAGU
rnacentral:rRNA from 1 species